GAUGAACGCUGGCGGCGUGCCUAAUACAUGCAAGUCGAGCGAACGGACGAGAAGCUUGCUUCUCUGAUGUUAGCGGCGGACGGGUGAGUAACACGUGGAUAACCUACCUAUAAGACUGGGAUAACUUCGGGAAACCGGAGCUAAUACCGGAUAAUAUUUUGAACCGCAUGGUUCAAAAGUGAAAGACGGUCUUGCUGUCACUUAUAGAUGGAUCCGCGCUGCAUUAGCUAGUUGGUAAGGUAACGGCUUACCAAGGCAACGAUGCAUAGCCGACCUGAGAGGGUGGUCGGCCAACAUGGAACUGAGACACGGUCCAGACUACGACGGGAGGCAGCAGUGGGGAUUCUUCCGCAAUGGGCUAAAGCCUGACGGAGCAACGCCUCGUGAGUGAUGAAGGUCUUCGGAUCUUAAAACUCUGUUAUUAGGGAAGAACAUAGAAGCAAGUAACAGUGCACAUCUUGACGGUACCUAAUCAGAAAGCCACGCCUACCUACGUG
rnacentral:rRNA from 1 species